rfam:Flavobacterium columnare ATCC 49512, complete genome.
UAAAUUUGCGUCCGUAUCGAGAAAAUCUCGGUCUACAUAAUAAUCAUUUAAAUAAUAUUAGCAUG